rnacentral:snoRNA from 1 species
AGAUUGUGGAGUGAACAUUCUCUCUACAGGUCCUUGAACCUAUUCCAUGCUUCCCUCAAUGUUUCAUCGGGUUCUUGUUGGAAGUUAGCAAGUUUAUGUCUUAUUUC